rnacentral:rRNA from 1 species
GAUGAACGCUGGCGGCGUGCUUAACACAUGCAAGUCGAACGGAAAGGCUCCUGCUUGCAGGGGUACUCGAGUGGCGAACGGGUGAGUAACACGUGGGUGAUCUGCCCAGCACUUCGGGAUAAGCCUGGGAAACUGGGUCUAAUACCGGAUAGGACGAUGGUUUGGAUGCCAUUGUGGAAAGUUUGUGCGGUGUGGGAUGAGCUCGCGGCCUAUCAGCUUGUUGGUGGGGUAAUGGCCUACCAAGGCGUCGACGGGUAGCCGGCCUGAGAGGGUGUACGGCGACAUUGGGACUGAGGUACGGCCCAGACGCCUACGGGAGGCAGCAGUGGGGAAUAUUGCACAAUGGGCGCAAGCCUGAUGCAGCGACGCCGGGUGGGGGAUGACGGCCUUCGGGUUGUAAACACCUUUCGCUAGAGACGAAGCGCAAGUGACGGUACCUGGAGAAGAAGCACCGGCUAACUACGUG